CGCGGCCUAUCAGCUUGUUGGCGGGGUAACGGCCCACCAAGGCAACGACGGGUAGCUGGUUUGAGAGAACGAUCAGCCACACUGGAACUGAGACACGGUCCAGACUUCUACGGAAGGCAGCAGUAGGGAAUCUUGCGCAAUGGGCGAAAGCCUGACGCAGCGACGCCGCGUGCGGGAUGACGGCCCUAGUGGUUGUAAACCGCUUUCAGCAGGGACGAAAAUGACGGUACCUGCAGAAGAAGUCCCGGCUAACUACGUGCCAGCAGCCGCGGUAAUACGUAGGGGACAAGCGUUGUCCGGAUUCAUUGGGCGUAAAGAGCUCGUAGGCGGUUCAGUAAGUUGGGUGUGAAAGCUCCGGGCUCAACCCGGAGAGGCCACUCAAUACUGCUGUGACUAGAGUCCAGUAGAGGAGCGUGGAACUCCUGGUGUAGCGGUGAAAUGCGCAGAUAUCAGGAAGAACACCGGCAGCGAAGGCGGCGCUCUGGGCUGGUACUGACGCUGAGGAGCGAAAGCAUGGGUAGCAAACAGGAUUAGAUACCCUGGUAGUCCAUGCCGUAAACGUUGGGCACUAGGUGUGGGGGGCUUCCACGUCUUCUGUGCCGUAGCUAACGCAUUAAGCGCCCCGCCUGGGGAGUACGG
rnacentral:rRNA from 1 species